GCUGAGACUGGCUUUGAACUCAUGAUCCUACUCCCUUGGCCUCCAGAGCCACUGGAAUUACAGAUUCCUUUUGAUUCUUUGGUCUACCUAAAUGAGUCUAGUUAUAUGAUCUCAGCCCUACCUCUCUCCUAUCAGGAUUAUGAAACUCAAGUGGGGUCCUAGUGAACUGCGGUGACCUUGUCACACAGGGUGCUGGGGCUCUACCUCCACCAUCUCAUUUCAACUUCCAUGAGCCCAUGAAAGGGAGAUGUGGAGAGGCCUGAUCUCGGGGUCCAUCCAGUGACCCACAGAAUGCAUCCUGACGGGGCCCAAUUUUGACCCCCAUUUGGCUUCACCCCACUUAGGAUUGAUUUCCAAGAGCCUCUCUUACCUGUCUGACCCAUUCCACACGCACUCGAAUUUAUCAAAAAUGCAGUCGUUUUCGUAGAGGGAGCACAACUUGCUGCGGAGGUAGUCAUGAACCUGAGAGGAGACGCCAAAGUCAGCCAUCAUCGUAAAAGCAUGUAAAGUCUGGAGAACUCCUGCCUGCAGUUAGAGCAUUUAAAAGAACAGCUAUGAAAAAGGAAUGAGAACUACUCUCCAGCAGGUCCGCUCUGCUCGUUCUGUCUGCUCUACUGUAUCCCCACAAGAAAGCAUCAAACCUAAACUCCCCAUGCAUCAGAUGAGGAGCCACCAGCCAGGCGAAGGUUGAUUGGAUAGAUGCCUUCCCUACAUCCAGGGGAAAUUGCUGACACUGUCACCUCCAUCCUCAAUGAGCAGAUCAUUCCCAGGUUCAGACUUCCCGCCUCUACUUCUCAGGUUGUUCAACUAGUCUCCAAAGCUUGAACAUCACUUGGAGGCUCCACAUCCCCCACUGACCCCAGUCAUCGGGUAAGGUUGAGAGGCCUAACGGCAUCCUCAAGGAUCAUCUCACUAAAUUUGCUAUGGAACUCAGGCUGUCCUAGCCCAUUCUCCUGCCGUUGUCCCUCACCUGAAUUCAGGCAGCCUCAAGAGUCCCCUCAGGCCUUAGCCCCUUUGAGCAACUCUAUGGGUGCCCUUUCUUAACCAACCAAAGCUUUCCAAUCACUCCUCCUCCCCUUGUGUCCUACCUCACACUUCUACACAAAUUCCUAAGAGAACAUGCAGACAGGUGCCUUCCCACACCAUCCAUUGCCUCAAUCCCGGCACAACAAGGAACUGAAUCGGACCCUCUUCAACUGGGUGAUGCAGUCUAACUUUAGGAACUGCAUUCUCAAUCACUAGAACCUCACUGGACGGGACCCCAUACAGUCAUACUUACUACUCCAGUGGUGACCAACCUUUUGGACACUCUCCCUGGUACCAUGUCUCCCGCCUUAAAAAGUCAUCUGUUCAGUCCUGGACUUCCACCAAAAUU